AACGAACGCUGGCGGCAGGCCUAACACAUGCAAGUCGAACGCUGUAGCAAUACAGAGUGGCAGACGGGUGAGUAACGCGUGGGAAUCUUCCUAUCGGUACGGAAUAGCUCAGGGAAACUUGGGGUAAUACCGCAUACGCCCUUCGGGGGAAAGAUUUAUCGCCGAUAGAUGAGCCCGCGUCUGAUUAGCUAGUUGGUGAGGUAAUGGCUCACCAAGGCGACGAUCAGUAGCUGGUCUGAGAGGAUGACCAGCCACACUGGGACUGAGACACGGCCCAGACUCCUACGGGAGGCAGCAGUGGGGAAUAUUGGACAAUGGGCGCAAGCCUGAUCCAGCCAUGCCGCGUGAGUGACGAAGGUCUUCGGAUUGUAAAGCUCUUUUGGCGGGGACGAUAAUGACGGUACCCGCAGAAUAGGCCCCGGCUAACUUCGUGCCAGCCGCCGCCGUAAAAC
rnacentral:rRNA from 1 species